rnacentral:sRNA from 1 species
GCCAGGCAUGGUGGUGCAUGCCUGUAACCCCAGCAGCUUGGGAGGCUGAGGCAGGAGGAUUGUGAGUUCAAAGGCAACCUCAGCAAAAAAAAAAAAAAAUGUGCUACGCAACUCAAGUGAGAUCCUAUCUCUA